GAUGAACGCUGGCGGCAUGCCUAAUACAUGCAAGUCGAGCGAACGGACGAGAAGCUUGCUUCUCUGAUGUUAGCGGCGGACGGGUGAGUAACACGUGGAUAACCUACCUAUAAGACUGGGAUAACUUCGGGAAACCGUAGCUAAUACCGGAUAAUAUUUUGAACCGCAUGGUUCAAAAGUGAAAGACGGUCUUGCUGUCACUUAUAGAUGGAUCCGCGCUGCAUUAGCUAGUUGGUAGGGUAACGGCUUACCAAGGCAACGAUGCAUAGCCGACCUGAGAGGGUGAUCGGCCACACUGGAACUGAGACACGGUCCAGACUCCUACGGGAGGCAGCAGUAGGGAAUCUUCCGCAAAGGGCGAAAGCCUGACGGAGCAACGCCGCGUGAGUGAUGAAGGUCUUCGGAUCGUAAAACUCUGUUAUUAGGGAAGAACAUAUGUGUAAGUAACUGUGCACAUCUUGACGGUACCUAAUCAGAAAGCCACGGCUAACUACGUG
rnacentral:rRNA from 1 species